UACGAAGGGGGCUAGCGUUGCUCGGAAUCACUGGGCGUAAAGCGCACGUAGGCGGUCUUUUAAGUCAGGGGUGAAAUCCUGGAGCUCAACUCCAGAACUGCCUUUGAUACUGAGAGACUUGAGUCCGGGAGAGGUGAGUGGAACUGCGAGUGUAGAGGUGAAAUUCGUAGAUAUUCGCAAGAACACCAGUGGCGAAGGCGGCUCACUGGCCCGGUACUGACGCUGAGGUGCGAAAGCGUGGGGAGCAAACAGGG
rnacentral:rRNA from 1 species